AGAGGUGAAAAAGAAAAUAAAAAAAAAAAAGUGUUGAUCAUGUGUACAAUGUAGCAGGGUAGAGAUUUACAAGUUCAGCUUCUAAAAAUAUAUGGAAAAAAAAAUCUGAAGAUAUUUUAUAUUUUAUUUAUUCCAAAUACAUAAAUGUAAUAAUUUUAUAAUAUGAGCUAAUGUCAUACAUUUUUAUAAAAAGGAAAAACUAAAAUAAAUACAACUUAAAAAUAAUGACCAUAUCACACAAAGAACCAAUCUGAGCCAAAGUCCAAGGUUACCAUAAAAACUGGUACCAAAAUUUCUCAUCACACACUGGGUACAAUAUGUACGAUACAAUUAGUUUUGUCGCCGUCUGGUGAAAACUUCUGGUACAGCAAAUGGUCAGGACAGAAUCACAACAAAUAAAUUAUGAAGAUGGCAGAACAAAAAAAAGUGUAUAAAAGAUGAAUUUGGAGAGAAAAAAAAAACUACAACAACAGACUCCUGGAGAGGGGCAGAUAAUGAUUAAUAAUAAAACUUGUACUGAGUAAUAAAACAAGCUUUCACUACUACACUCAAAGAAGCUUUAAAUAAAAAUAGGUUCCAUGCUAAAGUCUAGCGUCGGUUACUUGCACAGCGCUCACUUAAAAAUCACAAACAAAAUAUUGUCAAACAACAACUAAAACAAUCUUCACAGCUGGUUUCUGACAAACACAGAUAUUUUCAUCACAAGAUGAACUUUUUGACAGUAUUUGUACUCCAUAUAUAUAAAUUAUUUCCUUUAAAAACAAAAACAUACAAGGCUCAACGGACUACAAAAACUACUUUUGUUUCCUUGUAAAGCUGCAUGUGUAUAGAUCUAAUGGCGGACACAAAAAUAAAGUACAAGAUAAGCAAAACUGAAAAAAAUUAUUUUAAUGAUUAAAUUAAUGAAGAUAAUAAAACUUCUUGUUUUUACAUCAGCCCCCAACAAAGGUAGAAAUAAAGUGACACACACUUAGAAAGGAACAAAGACCAUCACCAGAGGAAAGUGGGAAAUAAAGAGAAAUAAUUUCAAAGUGGAAUUCCAUAUCAAGUGAAAUGAAAAAAGUAGUCAUACAUGUUUAGUUUCAUGACAGAAGCUGAACCCUAUCGACACUUUUGUUAUCACUCAACUAGACCAUUGAUGUGUCUGUACGUUAUCUUCACCUAGAAAGAAAAUUGCCUCAACUACCAAUAGAACCAGUCAAUGGUGUGUGAACACUUAAAUGUCAGUGUCACUUGUCCGCUGCCAACAGGUGUGACUGUCAGAAAUCAUAAGUUAGCAUUAGCUAAUCAUUCAUCCCAGCUAGUCUUGACAAUUAUUCAAAAAACAAAUGAAACACAAGUCUCUCACAUUAAAUGUCCUCACAGAAACAAAUACACACUUGCAUCCAUUCUAAUUGAUAUUUCAAAGUGUUUCUAUUUCAUAGCAGAUUUUUAAAACUAGAUCACAGUGUCCAACUGUGAUCAUAACAACAUUCUCAGAAAUAAUCAUUAUUCAGCAAACACACUAUAUCAGAAGGAAUAUGUAUAGUAACAUAGAAAAUAUAUUUUAUAGCACAUUGAACGCCAUCAAGGUACAUUACGCCAUUCCUUAAGUAAAACUUCAACAUAAAUUCAUAUGAAGCACAAUUUCAAUUACAAGUCUUUUACAACACAUCAGUAUGGUGAUCUUAACAGACAAAUCUUAUUCUGAAAAUAACCUCAUGUUAAAAGAGAUAGACAUUUGUUGUUUUUCCCUAAUUGAGUAUAUGUUUUAAAUAGUUGACAUUUUCUGUGGCGUGUUUAUCACAAGUACUGACCACACUUUUAAUCCUUAUAAAUAAAUACUGUUAUAGCAGUCAACAAGUCCAAUUUGAAUUAAAGAUAUGACAAUGUCUUCAAUUCCAAAGAUUAAGAACGAGAUUGGUGUUAAACGCAAACCCAGCUGCAAGCUGCAUAUUUUCUCAUGUCUGGAAACCUUACAGAGUUUCACAACGCCUAUGAGAUAGGGAUUUGUUUAGUUCAACAACUAGAAAUAUUUAUAAACUUGAUCUAUGUAUUCUCCAUCAGAAACACGUUGUAGUAUCAUGGCUUGAAACUGAUACUGAAAGCUCAAUAGAAAUGUUCCAUCAAAACUCACUGGAAAUUUAAUGGCCAUAACAGACCGCUCAAUGUACAGAAAUACCGGUAUCCUACAGUUUAGUCUGUACAGAGUCAACAAAAACUUGUCUAUAAUAGGCCAGUGUUGGGUAACAGAAACUAUUGGUACUGAUAAAGGGAAAAAAAAUCAGUUCAAAAGGGGAAGGAUUUUCAGAAUGGAGAAAAAAAAGCUGUUGUCACAACGUAGAGAUAAAAAAAAUAAAGACUCUUCAUUGUGGAAGACUUGAAUAAAUGUCUCAAUUCAUGCACAAAUUAAAAAAAAAGGUCUAGAAAUAUUUUAAAAUAAAAAAUAAUUUAAAAAAUCACAAUAAGAUUUUGUUAAUCAAAUCAAAUCAUGACAAUAUUUAUACUUUAACAGUUUGCUUUGAUACAAGUAAGAAAAUUGUCAAGAAUAUAAUCAACAUACAAGACCAGUUCUUCAAUGCUGACAGUCCCAUUACAGUUCAAAGCCCAUCAUCCCUAUUUUAUGCUGUAGAGGUAUUUAUUUUAUCAGCCUACCCUCAAUGUGCUAAAGCAACAGAGGUAUUUAUUUUAUCAGCCUACCAUCAAUGUGCUAAACAACAGAGGUAUUUAUUUUAUCAGCCUAUCUUCAAUGUGCUGCACACAAGAGUCAAGUCUAUCAUCAUUGUACAACAAAACAAGAGUUAUCAACCAAUUAUCACUGCACUGUACAACAAUUAUCAGCUUAUCAUAACUGUACUGUACAACAGAGUUAUCACCAGUAGUGCUCUACCUCACACAGUACACCACAAUCAACUGUGUCAAGUAGGAAGUUACAGGAAGAAAAUUUGAGUUAAGGGAGUACAAAUGGAUACAAUAAAUAUAUAAUCCUCUAUCUACAGACAUGCACCUCACGACAAUGUUAUUUCUGCUAAACUAUUUGGACCAGUCAACCCUUACACAACUUUUAAAUACGACUUUUUAAAAACUGUAAAAAAAAAUAUUUAUUGGUUUUGUAUUGUAGAAGCUUAUCAAAGUUUUGAUAACUUUAUAACCUAAUCAAAACUACACUACGAGUUAGUGAUUCUUUAACUUGCAGACAUAGCUAGAAUGGAAAAUGUAUGCAUGUUUCAAAUUGAAAAGGGGGGGGGGAGG